GGGCAACCCUGACCGAGCAACGCCGCGUGAGUGAAGAAGGUUUUCGGAUCGUAAAGCUCUGUUGUAAGUCAAGAACGAGUGUGAGAGUGGAAAGUUCACACUGUGACGGUAGCUUACCAGAAAGGGACGGCUAACUACGUGCCAGCAGCCGCGGUAAUACGUAGGUCCCGAGCGUUGUCCGGAUUUAUUGGGCGUAAAGCGAGCGCAGGCGGUUUGAUAAGUCUGAAGUUAAAGGCUGUGGCUCAACCAUAGUUCGCUUUGGAAACUGCUUAACUUGAGUGCAAGAGGGGAGAGUGGAAUUCCAUGUGUAGCGGUGAAAUGCGUAGAUAUAUGGAGGAACACC
rnacentral:rRNA from 1 species